CAGAGUCUUCAGAGACAGUUGAUCUUUUUUGACUUCUCGUGGAGGAGAAUAGCCUCUGGAUGCAGUUGGACAGUACAAAAGAUGGUUCUAGUGGACUGGAAGGCACCAAAUGAGAGGACCAAGGGAAAUAUUAGUUGCAGAGAUCUGUAGAAAAGAGUACAAGAGUUGGGAGCAAACAGAAAGGUGUGUAACGGGUGUGGAAAAACAUUUGCUAGUCAGCCAAACUGCUGCAUGAUUCGACUCUCAAAAAUGAUAAAUACAACAGGAGUGCUCUGGAAAACAGCCUGAUGAAAAGGUAUAAUUAGACAUCAUU